UGGUUUCUUUGGAACGUUUUAUUGUGGUUUCGGUUGGAUUUUUUCACAGGAUAUCGGUGUUCAGAAUGGUAGCACAAGUGACGACUUAACACCCCGAAAACUCUCAGUUUGAUACAAAUUUCCCAGGGUUUUGCCCAGCUAGGAUCAUUAGAAUGUUGUGUCAUCGACAAGACAUCCUAAACAUAAGCGGCAAAUUUUCGUCGAUGGUCCCACAGACAAAUCUGAUUUACAGCAAGCUCCAAGAGUCAACAUUGUACAUCUCCUGUGUCAUUAAUAUUAUUGCAAUUGUUAUCACAUUUCACAACUAUAUUCUACCUAAAUUGCUUGUUCUUGCUGGGAAAAUAUAUUUUCUAGUUCCAGAUGAUGCGGCUU